rnacentral:rRNA from 1 species
UUUCCAGAGAUGGACUGGUGCCUUCGGGAACUGUGAGACAGGUGCUGCAUGGCUGUCGUCAGCUCGUGUUGUGAAAUGUUGGGUUAAGUCCCGCAACGAGCGCAACCCUUAUCCUUUGUUGCCAGCGGUCCGGCCGGGAACUCAAAGGAGACUGCCAGUGAUAAACUGGAGGAAGGUGGGGAUGACGUCAAGUCAUCAUGGCCCUUACGACCAGGGCUACACACGUGCUACAAUGGCGCAUACAAAGAGAAGCGACCUCGCGAGAGCAAGCGGACCUCAUAAAGUGCGUCGUAGUCCGGAUUGGAGUCUGCAACUCGACUCCAUGAAGUCGGAAUCGCUAGUAAUCGUGGAUCAGAAUGCCACGGUGAAUACGUUCCCGGGCCUUGUACACACCGCCCGUCACACCAUGGGAGUGGGUUGCAAAAGAAGUAGGUAGCUUAACCUUCGGGAGGGCGCUUACCACUUUGUGAUUCAUGACUGGGGUGAAGUCGUAACAAGGUAACCGUAGGGGAACCUGCGGUUGGAUCACCUCCUUACCUGAAAGAA